GGACACAACUGAAGUGACUGAGCGCACACGCAUACCACCAUCGGCUGGGACUGAAGUCCAUGAGAUACUGUAGACCUCAGCGAGUAUGAUCACCCACUAACUCGCUGAGGCUGGUUUAGGGAAAGCCAAACACUAUGCCCAGUCGUUCCCUUAAACGGCCCAAGACUGAAGAAUGUCUCUCAUGGAUAGAUUUGGCAUGACGGCUGGAGAGGAGACACCAUCCUUGGCCACUGAGACCAUUGGCUCCCAUGACCUAAGACCGACUCAUGACAGAGACUCUUAAAUGAUUCUUUUACCCUGUAUUUUGGUCACAAACAUUUGUUAUUUGAAA